CUGAGUGGAGCUGUGUGUUAUGAAGUGUUUUUGAGCUGAUCUUUUGGCGUGGUGCUCCUGCGCUCAGACGGUGUCAGUGAGAAAUAAUGUGACAGACCAUCAGCGCGAUUUCACAGCUCCAGUACAGCAGCCCAGAGAAGCCGAGCACCGAGCGACUUAGAAGAGUCCACGCACAAAAUGAAGUGGAAACAAGCAUUAACUGCUCUCAAAGCUAAAUCAUUCACAAUUGAGGCCUAUUUAACAAUCCACCAUUUUCAACUGAAAUCAAAGACAAACUUCCAUACCUAUUGAGUGAAACCCUUCUGAAAACAAUGAAAAUGUCGAAUGACACCGGCAGCUGUAAAUGCCAGAAAGAAGAGGAUUUAGGCUGGUUUUUCAGAGCCAAACCAAACCAGCAUGAAAAAAGGACAGAAAGAGAAGCCCUCCCUUCCUCUAACCCUGUUUUGCUCUUCUCUGUGUAGUUUGGCAGUAGACGGUAGUGUUGGUGUGUGUGUGUGUGUGCGGUCUGUGUGAACAAGCGCUCAUGUGGACAGGGCUCUGACUCUGCUGUUUGGUGAAGUUCCCAGUUAGGCUUGAUGGGAAAUGCUUUUUUAUCCCUCACUGAAUGAAGUUGGUUCAGCAUACACAUAACUGUAGAGUAACCAUUGGACCAAAUGCUGAGAAGAAACUCAUGCCUGAUGCUUACCUGCCCAACAGAAAUCCACUAUUUAACCCUCUAUGGUACGUCUCAUGUUAUUAAUAUGAAAUAAACUACCAUUCAACAGUU